GUUAUUUGUAGACUCAUCAUUAAAUGCUGUUUUCCAGGGAAGAGAGAGCUGAGAAUGGCUCAAACUGUUGAAACUACAAAUAAACCUUUUAAAACAGAUCCCAGGUGGAAUGAAUAAAGUCCUGUGUGCUUGAGUUUGCUGGGAAGCUGUAGUGGAAAUGCUAAGUCAUAGCCUGAACCAGUGAUUGAGCACCUGGUGGGAAGACAGUACCAACCCAGGGGAACUCAUGUGUAUGCAAUCCACCUGAGUGACUGGAAGGAGUGGAGCUAGGAUCAGCUCCUUCCCAGACUUUGCUUAAGGGUUGGCAGUGCCUCCUUGAAGGGUUCCGAAGUUUCAGCAUGGUCUGCUGGAGUGGGAACAAGUAGGACAAGAAUGCAAGAGAAGUAGCGAUGUACAGAACCAAUAUUAUUGCCAAACACUUCAUGAUAUCAAGAAGAAUCAGCACAACCUGUUUGAUCCUGCUCCAUACCUCACAAGCCCAGAGGCCUCUCUCAUGUACCUCCCAGUCAUUUCUUCUGUACCUUGAAGAUACCUGUUCUACUUGGUAAGAAACUGAGCUGCUGGGCAGAUCUUGUAAAGGACUUGUGCUAUUUUUGUCUAUGGCCUUACCCUCAGACUCCAGUGUGUCUUGUUGCAUCCUGUAGUCAUGAAUGAAAGCCUCCAGCUUGCUUAGAGCCCGAGUUCCAGCUCUAACGCUGCAAGCAUCACGCUUUGACAGAGUUAUGGGGAUAUAAAUAAUAGCCUGCACUCCAGUCUCAGGGAGGAACUGUUCCUAACCAUGCCGUACUCGCACAAGCCAUUCCUGGAAGCCUCUUCACUUUCCCAUCUUCCCUUGCACCUCCCUAACUUUGCUACUAACCCAUACUCCGAGCUUCAUUUCCAGGGUCUUGUGAGGUUAUUCAUGUCUACAACCUGCUUUUUGUAGGCAAACUUGUGAAGGCUUUGGCUGCAGCCAGUACCUUAUCCCUUUUUUCUCAUUGUGUUAGCAUGUAAGCCCCUUGUAAGUGCCCAGAGAAACCAGGAACUUGCCAGCUGCCUAAGUCUUGCUGAGUACCCGUUGGAAGCAUGGCGUGCUCACUUCUGGCUGUGUGUCACUGUGACCUCCUAGCACGCCAUCCAAAAUAACCUUGUGCAUGCAACCAGGAAUAGAAAGAAAGGAAGGAUGCAUUUUAUGUAAAUGUAGUCAGAAAGUCUGCAAGACAAAUUGCUUGAAGUGGUUUGAAAGAUAAAGAAAAAUGACUCAUUUCCAGAAGGAACUAUUUCUGCUGGGCUGAGAGGAGUACUGUGCCUUAGACAGGUAUGUGGUUGCCAUUACAAAAGGUGAAUUUUUCUUGUCAUGUGGGUGGACUGGAGGUUGACUGGUUCAACAUACUGUCCAAUGGGCAUGCAGGUGAGGUAUGCUUUCUAACACUGACAGAACUCUGCAGCUGGAGAAUUUAUCAGUUUGCCAGCAGUGUGGUUUUACACACAGCUUUUGCAAUAAGUGCCACUGUGUUCUCAAUAGAACAUGAACCUAUGAGGCACAUGUUCCCAGGCAAGCAGACUGGCAGCCCAACUAAUUUCGAGUAACAGUAUAUUUAAUUAAAUGGUCUUUCUGUCAUGAAGCCAAUGGGCAGCUGUGCAGAGGAUGGAGUGACAGUGGCCAGCCCAGGCAGCCUUGUCCCAGCGAGCACCAGCAGAAAUUUCCUGUACCCCUGGGCCAUCAGCUCCUCCAAUGCUGAUUGUUCACUGAUGUUUGCCAACACUUCCCCACAAAUGCAGCUAUUUGUGCCCUUAUGCAGCGGGCAGAAAGCAGUCACUCACUCUUCCCCUAACCUCCUGCAGACAAUUUCAUUGAGCUAAUCUAUGGCUGUUGACAAUAUCAGGUUACCCAGGCUCCAACCAAAAGCAGGUUGUGGCCCAUUUCUGAGAGAGACCAGCUAUCGUUCAUCACAGCUUUCAUUACAGCACUCCUGGCUUUUCCAAAGCCCUCCUCCCUUCUCCAUCCAUGGAGGACAGGAAUGCAGUUUCACCCGGAAACCACCUUUCCCUUUUAAGUGAGUGCAUUUCUGAGAGGCUUUGGUAUUUCCCAUCUCUUGAUACCACAUUUUUUCCACUGAAUCCGCAAGCAGUGCCAGGAGCUUCAGCGAGUGCCUAAAUCCAUCAGCACACCAGGAAGCACAGGAAGCCAAACACCGAAGCUUCCCAUCCCGUGUGCAGCCGAGGGGUCAGAGCCGCUCUGCCCUGCGGCGCGACGACCCAUUACCGUCCUCCCCUCGUUGCCAGGACAGGAAGGUGCUCUCAGCCCGGCUCCGGCGCCCCAAGCCCUCCCCGGGCCACCUCUUCCUCUGAAGGCAUGCCGCAGAUGCCGGGGCUGGUGGCCGGGUGGCACAAAGCCUGCAUUGUCCGCGCUCGCUGCCCAGAGAGGCGAUCUAAUUGUCUUCCCCUGCUCACAGCAACAAUUUGCUGGCAGCGAGGCUUGUGUCAUUAUAUAACUGGAGAUAGCCUGACUUGUAAACAGAUCUCCAGAGCAUGUCUGUCUUGCCUUAUUUUGGAUAAACAAGAAGUUCCAGGCUGGCUGAUGAUACCUUGGUGCUGUUUGCGAGGGCACAAAAAGCAGUGGCAGGGGUGAGCAAAGACUUUGCGGGGGCAGUUUCUCAGGGCAUCACCUUCUUGUUCACAUUGAUAGGAAGUCAGUCGGGCAAUUCCGGGAAGCCUGUGAGAUUCCGUGGCUCCUUUAGUACUGUUCGAUGUCUAUGCUUGUAUUUGUGAGUUUUCCUUUUCCCUCUUCCUAUUUCCUAGCACUAUUCUAUGCUACCUGGGAAGGGCAAAAGCUGUCCUCCUCUAUUCCCAUCCAUGAGGGAACAAUUCCAUGCAUGACUUCUAAGCCAGUGAGGGACUGCCUAUCACAGAGGAUGAUGUUCAGUCUGCUUCCUCCUCUCUUCUGGAGACAAACCCUGCCAGAGAAACCAAAACCUGUACCCUAUUGGCUAAACUUUCACCUAAGCAAAGGGAGAGAUACCCAAAGAUGUCUUCUGCCAGUGCUCAUUAGAACUGAAGCCAAUGUCACCACAUUGUGAUAGUCAUCAUUUACAGGUAUGUAUCGUAUGGUAUUUAUUGGUAUGGAUUGAUGUUUGGACAAGGUAAUCUUAUGGUCUUUCCAACCUUGUUCUAUGAUCUGUGCUGCUCACACCCCUAGGGAUGCUCUGCUCCUGAGUUUGUAGAGAAGAAAGUACUCUCCCUUUUUGGCUUUCACCUUUUAUGCUUGAGCACAUGAUUAUAUCAACAGAUGCGGAUUCUAGUCUGGAAAGCUGCUUGCCACUGACUGCAGGGGACAACUUAAUCUUCAUGUUGACUUUAUUGCUGGGUUUCCUAGAUGGCUGUUUUGCUGCCUGAGCCUGAAGUAGCAAGGGAGAAAGGGGAGUCAAAAGGAGAAAUGAAGUCCCUUGGCUGGAAUUUCAAUCCUCUCUGAUUUUUCUUUACAAAGACUGAACAGGCUUAGAGGAAAGGGCUGCUCAAGACUUGUCGGAGCCUUCCUGAAGGCAAGUGUCUGCAGUGCUACCCUUCCUGGAGGACUAAAUCUGAAUAUCCCAGCAUCAAAAACAGGCUAUUUACUUCUUUAAGGACAUCCCCUUGCUGCACCUUUCCUCUGCUUUCAAUAUCAAGUUUGCCUUUUUUUCUCUCUCUCUCUUCUGUUUGCUUUUCCUGGGUGUCUGAAGCUCUGGACACUGUGUCACUCCCACAGAAAGAGGGUAGAAAAAUACUGUAAGGUUGCAGCUCUGUUGUAGCUUGGCAGCUGCUGGCUCUGCGCGUCCAUCUUCCUCCGCUACUCUCUCCCCCACUGUUAGAUUCAAUUUCAUAAAUAAAUACCCCACGUAUUGACGUCAUUAUAGGCCUUGAGAAAUAAUACUCCUGCCGCUUUCUUUGCUAAGCAUGGGGAACGGAGGAGAGAGGGAGGAGGAACAGAAGCAACAACGUCUUGGAAGAUGAAGACUUAAUAUUCUCCUAAUCGCCUCCCUCCCUUUGUGGCUAUGACCCAGCUGUGAAGAAUACAAAGAUUACCAUUAUCAGCGUGCCCUUGUGGCUUGAGAAAGGAUAAUCGAGUAUCAAAAAUUCCUAUUUCAGACUAUUUUUUUCAGGAGAGAGGAUGAUGGGGAUGUACUCUGGAAGGGUACCCUCAACGGUCCCUGUGCUCCUGUCAUGAAAUUAAGAAAUUUGUAUCCAAAAUGAGCUCACAGUUCAUGUUUCUGUGUCUUAAGACACCAGUGAUGUUUCCAGCCAUGUCUCAUUGAAAAUCUCUUUCCCUCGCUUCAUUACUGGAGGUCAAGAGGUUGCUUCUUAGACUAAGCUGUGACAAGUCAAAGCCAAGACCACUGACUUUGUGCCUUUCUUUUCUCAGUUCUAACAUUCCACUGUGGUACUCCUCAAAACUGUGAAAUAAUUUGCAUUUUUAUUUGUUUAUUUUGCUAGAAGAAUGAAAGAUUCCCUUCUCCGUGUCCUUACUCUUUGCCAAGCAAGAGCCUAGCAGGUUAGAAACCUCAGCUUUCAGAUCAGUGUUGGCAGAUACCAGGAGAAGGAAGGGAAAGAGGAUCUUGCAGGGCUCUCUGCAAAAGCUGGCAUGAUUUUGAUGAGCAAGGCAUUCCUUGGGAUGCAUGCAGCUGAGAGUGCAGCAACAAAGGGGGGACAGAAAAGACACCAGAUGUGAAAGUUUCUUAUAGCUGAUUUGCUUUAUUGAUAAUGUAUUACAAGUGGGAAGUACAAUAGGUGCACAACCUGGGAAGUGUGCAUCUUGUCUAUUGCUGGGUGCAGACAAGUGACAUUGGUGAUCAGUAGCUUUCCCAGGCUUCCCCACAGACAUAUAAAAC